GAGGAAUCUUGGACAAUGGGCGCAAGCCUGAUCCAGCCAUGCCGCGUGAGUGAUGAAGGCCUUAGGGUUGUAAAGCUCUUUUGCCGGGGAUGAUAAUGACCGUACCCGGAGAAUAAGCCACGGCUAAAUUCGUGCCAGCAGCCGCGGUAAUACGAAUGUGGCGAGCGUUGUUCGGAAUCACUGGGCGUAAAGAGUACGUAGGCGGCUUGAUAAGUCAGGAGUGAAAUCCCAGGGCUCAACCCUGGAAUUGCUUUUGAAACUAUCUCGCUAGAAACACGGAGAGGUUGGCGGAAUUCCAAGUGUAGAGGUGAAAUUCGCAGAUAUUUGGAGGAACACCAGUGGCGUAAGCGGCCAACUGGACGUGUAUUGACGCUGAGGUACGAAAGCGUGGGGAUCAAAC
rnacentral:rRNA from 1 species